GCGUUUGUAGAUGGAAGGAAGAACUUGUGUGCUUAGACCUGACGCUGGGAGGAGAUGCUGCCACCUAGGUUACUUGUAGGACCCUAUACGGCAACCUCCUUUGCCAGGAACUAUUUAUAAACAUCCUGCAGGAAAAUGAGUCAAGGAAGCUUUUCUUUUGAGCUAUUUACAGCUUUUAGCAAUUGAGUAAAGUAUACUCCUGUGAACAAAAUUUGGAACAUAUUUGUUUCUCUCUAACUGAUUUCUCCAGAAUUUGGAACUAGUUAACCAGGAACCCUCUCUUGGGGUGUGGAUCGAGACCCCUUUCUGGUAACGAGAGCACAGCUUGGUUUUAUACAUUUUAAGGAGACAUGAGACAUCAAUCAACGUAUAUAAGAUGAACAUUUUGAUCUGAAAAGGCCUCUUUAAAUAUACACUUCUCUGUAGUGUAUGCUAGAAAUGGAGUGGCUGGAAUAAAAGUGGCUGAAUCAUCUUCAACUCUAGUAGCUGAGACCAAUGAUGCUGACCUCCCUCAAAAGCUGCAUUUCUGAAUUUCUGAAGGCAAACUGUCUGCCUAUAUUGUACAGCAAAAUAAUUUCCUGUAUUAAAACGUUUUUAUUGCUCUAAAUUUCUAGAUUAAACUCUGCUUAGGUAUUGCUAAGAGGGUAGCCAAGUAUAGAAACUUAAAUUUACUGACAGAAAUCUAGAGAAUGCUUAAUUUUUUUUCCAGCAGUGAAGUAGAAGAGACAGGGAUAUCCCAGAAGGU
rnacentral:lncRNA from 1 species